CAAUUACUAUUACUAAUAACCAAACAUAUUGUCCAUCCUCAUCAUGUGGCACAAUCAGAAACAUAAAACAUCCUUUUCGACUUCAGAAUGAUCCAGCAAACUGCGGUGAUCCGAGGUAUGAGUUAUCCUGCGAAAACAACAUCACAACGUUAACUUUGUUUUCAGGUAAAUACUAUGUGAAAUCAAUCAACUACAGAAACUACUCAAUGAGAGUAGUUGAUCUUGGAAUUCAAGAAGGUGAUUGCUCCUCCAUGCCUCGCUAUUUCUUAACCGCAGCCAAUUUCACAAGUUCUUACGAUUAUAAUUACCACGGGGAUCCAUAUGAAUUGGGUAACGGUCAAUCUCUGGUUGAGCACGUAAUAUACUUGAACUGUAGCAAUCAAGUGAAGAACGAUCCUCUGUACGUGGAUACAUCUCCGUGUAGAAUCAACUCUGCAAAUAACAGCUAUGUUUAUG
rnacentral:lncRNA from 1 species